CAGCUGACGAGUCCCAAACAGGACGAAACGCGCGUCCUGGAU
rfam:Schistosoma margrebowiei strain Zambia genome assembly, scaffold: SMRZ_contig0008267